rnacentral:rRNA from 1 species
AGGUUUCAUUCAUGUCUAGUAUAAGCAUUAUACCGUGAAACUGCGAAUGGCUCAUUAAAUCAGUUAUCGUUUAUUUGAUAAUACCUUACUACUUGGAUAACCGUGGUAAUUCUAGAGCUAAUACAUGCUGAAAAUCCCGACUUCGGAAGGGAUGUGUUUAUUAGAUAAAAAACCAAUGCCCUUCGGGGCUUUUUGGUGAUUCAUGAUAACUUUACGGAUCGCAUAGCCUUGCGCUGGCGACGGUUCAUUCAAAUUUCUGCCCUAUCAACUUUCGAUGGUAAGGUAUUGGCUUACCAUGGUUUCAACGGGUAACGGGGAAUUAGGGUUCGAUUCCGGAGAGGGAGCCUGAGAAACGGCUACCACAUCCAAGGAAGGCAGCAGGCGCGCAAAUUACCCAAUCCCGACACGGGGAGGUAGUGACAAUAAAUACUGAUACAGGGCUCUUUUGGGUCUUGUAAUUGGAAUGAGUACAAUUUAAACCUCUUAACGAGGAACAAUUGGAGGGCAAGUCUGGUGCCAGCAGCCGCGGUAAUUCCAGCUCCAAUAGCGUAUAUUAAAGUUGUUGCAGUUAAAAAGCUCGUAGUUGAAACUUGGGCCUGGCUGGCGGGUCCGCCUCACCGCGUGCACUCGUCCGGCCGGGCCUUCCUUCUGAAGAACCUCAUGCCCUUCACUGGGCGUGCUGGGGAAUCAGGACUUUUACUUUGAAAAAAUUAGAGUGUUCAAAGCAGGCCUUUGCUCGAAUACGUUAGCAUGGAAUAAUAAAAUAGGGCGUGCGUUUCUAUUUUGUUGGUUUCUAGAGACGCCGCAAUGAUUAACAGGAACAGUCGGGGGCAUCAGUAUUCAGUUGUCAGAGGUGAAAUUCUUGGAUUUACUGAAGACUAACUACUGCGAAAGCAUUUGCCAAGGAUGUUUUCAUUAAUCAGUGAACGAAAGUUAGGGGAUCGAAGACGAUCAGAUACCGUCGUAGUCUUAACCGUAAACUAUGCCCAACUAGGGAUCGGGCGAUGUUCUUUUUUCUGACUCGCUCGGCACCUUACGAAAAAUCAAAGUUUUUGGGUUCUGGGGGGGAUUAUGGUCGCAAGGCUUAAAACUUAAAGAAAUUUGACGGAAGGGCACCACCCAGGCCUUG